AGACCGAUAGCGAACAAGUAGAGUGAUCGAAAGAUGAAAAGCACUUUGAAAAGAGAGUUAAACAGCACGUGAAAUUGUUGAAAGGGAAGCGCUUGCGACCAGACUCGCCCACGGGGUUCAGCCGGCAUUCGUGCCGGUGUACUUCCCCGCGGGCGGGCCAGCGUCGGUUUGGGCGGCCGGUCAAAGGCCCUCGGAAUGUAACGCCCCCCGGGGCGUCUUAUAGCCGAGGGUGCCAUGCGGCCAGCCCGGACCGAGGAACGCGCUUCGGCUCGGACGCUGGCAUAAUGGUCGUAAGCGACCCGUCUUGAAACACGGACCAAG
rnacentral:rRNA from 1 species